rnacentral:tRNA from 1 species
GCCUGGGUGGCUCAGUCGGUUGAGCGUCUGACUUUGGCUCAGGUCAUGAUCUCGCGGUCUGUGAGUUCGAGCCCCACGUCGGGCU